GACCGAUGGAACCACUUAAAGAGCAUCACGGUGGGGAUGCCAGGAUCCCUAGUGCCACCAACACCCAAUCUACCGGUGAGUAAAUCACACGGUUUGACCAGCGUGUAAAAAGUUUGCAAACUGUUUAUCGACCUACUAAGCUUACUUGUCAGGAUUGUUCGAGGGUAGAACCAUGCAGGGUUAUCUACAACUAAAUGUGCAUUCAUUUGUUGAUCAAAUAAUCACCUUAGUUACAGAGAUCAAGAGUGAGGAAAACAUUGAGAUCGAGGUCACUGUGAUGAAGGAUGCAAGCUUAAUCAACACCACAGUGGAGGAGGUGAACAGGGGUCUUCAGGACAAAAAUUGUCAGCUUGAAGAGAAGAAUGCCGCUCUACAUCAAAAACUCCACAGC
ensembl:lncRNA